rnacentral:rRNA from 1 species
GGCUCAGGACGAACGCUGGCGGCGUGCUUAAUACAUGCAAGUCGAACGCGAAAGCACUCUUCGGAGUGCGAGUAGAGUGGCGAAUGGGUGAGUAACGCGUAGGUAAUGUACCCUCGAGAUUGAGAUAACCCCGGGAAACCGGGGCUAAUACCGAAUGAAGCAUGACCUGUGGGAUGGUGAUGUGAAAGUGGCGCAAGUCACGUUUGGGGAGCAGCCUGCGUCCUAUCAGCUUGUUGGCGGGGUAACGGCCCACCAAGGCGAAGACGGGUAGCUGAUCUGAGAGGAUGAUCAGCCACACUGGGACUGAGACACGGNCCAGACUCCUACGGGAGGCAGCAGUAGGGAAUAUUGCGCAAUGGGGGAAACCCUGACGCAGCGACGCCGCGUGAGCGAAGAAGGCUUUAUUAGUCGUAAAGCUCUGUAGGGAGGGAAGAACCGCAGGUGGUAACGCAUCUGUCUGACGGUACCUCCAAAGUAAGGACCCGGCUAAAUACGUGCCAGCAGCCGCGGUAAUACGUAUGGUCCGAGCGUUGUCCGGAAUUACUGGGCAUAAAGGGUGCGUAGGCGGAUGUGUAAGUCAGGUGUGAAAGCCCUCGGGUCAACCGGGGAAAUUGCGCUUGAAACUGCACGUCUAGAGCAUGUCAGAGCGCAGGCGGAAUUCCCGGAGUAGCAGUGAACUGCGUAGAUAUCGGGAAGAACACCGGUGGC